AGCGAACGCUGGCGGCAGGCCUAACACAUGCAAGUCGAACGAACUCUUCGGAGUUAGUGGCGGACGGGUGAGUAACACGUGGGAACGUGCCUUUUGGUUCGGAAUAACUCAGGGAAACUUGUGCUAAUACCGAAUGUGCCCUUCGGGGGAAAGAUUUAUCGCCAUUAGAGCGGCCCGCGUCUGAUUAGCUAGUUGGUGAGGUAACGGCUCACCAAGGCGACGAUCAGUAGCUGGUCUGAGAGGAUGACCAGCCACACUGGGACUGAGACACGGCCCAGACUCCUACGGGAGGCAGCAGUGGGGAAUCUUGCGCAAUGGGCGAAAGCCUGAAGCAGCCAUGCCGGGUGAAUGAUGAAGGUCUUAGGAUUGUAAAAUUCUUUCACCGGGGACGAUAAUGACGGUACCCGGAGAAGAAGCCCCGGCUAACUUCGUG
rnacentral:rRNA from 1 species